AAGACCCUGAAAGGAUUCAGAAUUGAGCACCAAGACAUAAUAAAAGCAAACAACCAAAGCCAAAACACGCAGAGGAGGUCAAAGUCAGAGCUGAAAACAAUAAGUGAAGUAACUGAAUUUGCUUUGAUUUCAGGCAUUAUAAAUGAGAAACGCACUGUUGAUAUGACGGCCCCGGCCCCCAGACCACUCCUGGCAGUCAAAGGCCUCCACGCGCACUCCCACUUCGACACUGCAGACGGGCGACAAGGGCAGUGGGCAGAGAACCUGAGCAUGCCAGGCCUACUCUGCCCACUGCCCCACCACCUCCUCCAGGGGAGGAAGAGAAUGAGGACCCUGGGUUGUUUCAUUGUCAUCUGCUAAUCUAUGCAACUGUUAACAUCCAUUUCAUCAGGUCGAUUGAUCUGAUGUACAAGCUCCUGGGAGCAUUUCUGCUUUACUUUCCCACUUUUAAGUGGUAAAAAGGCCAUUGGAACUUUAUAUACCUUCAUGAACAUACUUUGGUAAUGGGGGAGGGGUGGUUAAAUUGUGCCAAAGUCAAGUUUUCUCUCCUAAAAACAAUAGUCCUAUAAUUUAAAAGCAUCGAACACUGAAACUGGAUAGGAAACACAGAUGUUCUUUUUUACAUUUAAAAAGAAAAAAAUACUAAAUUAAAUCUUUUCUUUGUGUAUCAAGAGUAAUAAAAAUAACUGGGAAGUGGUUUGGACUUCAUGGUGAUAAAUGAUGGGUCCAUUAUGAAGUGGUUGACCACACAGUCACUGGGACUCUUUUGAGAGUGAAAGGAAGAAUGGAUAAUUAUGACAGGUGCAAAAACCAAGACCAUCCUGGACCAAGUAGGACAUACAGUCACACUUAUUAUGAGACAAAAACCAACUUAUCCUAACAGUGUAAGGAGGCCUGAAGUGGAACAGCGUUAAAAUGUGUGUCUGUGGAUUUCGAAGAUUCAGUGAAGUUUAAAAAAAAUUAGAAGGAACUUGAUUUUUUUAAAGUAGUCACUAUACUUACCUCCAGAUUGAAAUAAAACAAAAAAUAUUGCUUAUGUGCCAGUUUGACUUCAUUUAUAGCAGCCUAAGAGCACCAGACAUGCUUUACCAGGUCUGAAAUGUAUUGUUGACAAUGGCAUUGAAGACAAGACGAUCUCCAACUGUAGAUGGUCCCCGGAACUUAAACAUGUCCACGGACUUCAGAAGGGGAUGCGCUCGACACAGGCGGCUGAUGAAACGAAGGGAAGGAGAGAGAGAAGAAAGUGAUCAUUCUCCAAAAUAUUUUCAGGAACUGUUGCUUUGCUUAAUGGAUGCAAUAGGCCAGUGUUCAGGGUGCUUUCUAAAUGAAUAUCUCUUUUAGCUCAAGAGGGAAAUGAAUAACUGGAUUGUGUGUGUUGAGAGUGGUCCUGUACAUUACCUGCAAAUAUUUUAGGAAAUGCCACACGUCCCCAGGCCAUGGGGUCUUUACCAAGAUGCUGGUGCUCCUGCUCUUGUGGUGACAGUCCUGCUCUUGUUUUGUGCCCUAUGGAAGUAUCUCCAAAAAACAAACCGCUGUCGUUUGUUCUAAUUUGAGGGAUUUUUUUUCCUCCUGACAGCUCAUGACUACAAUCACAGAAAGCUGUGACUCCCAGGUUGGAGUGGGGCACAGUGAAGAGAACUGUCAACUGGUGCCAUUCACAUGCAUUCCUUGGCUUCACUGUUACUUGAGUUCACCCGCAUGUCAAAGACUAAUUUUUUUCCCCUAAAGAAAAAUUACCUGGAUUGCUGCACAAAGCCUGAAAGGCUACAAAGAAUACAUUUUACAAUUUUUGUGGUGUGUGGAGUUUUGAAAAUCUAUAAAGAAAAUUUAAUCUCAGAAAGUUACUUCCAUAAUUUUCUACAUUUUAGAUUCCCACUGUAGUCAUCCAAUUACUCUAAAGAAUUGUGCCAACAAUAAGUGAACAGACUCUGCCAUAGUUAAUUAUAUUGUAAGCCUUUACAAUAGAACAGGUUCAAAUGCUUUAUUGUCAUUAAGAGUGACAAUGUCAUUUUAAAAACAAGCUCUUAUAUUUGUGCACAAUUUAUAGGAAGGAUAACCACAGGUUUCUAAUUAUAGUCGUAACUGUAGACAUAUUACUAAUAAAAUUCCUUUAAUUUGGGGGAAAUAAAACCUUAACAAUUUUCAGUGGUUACAAAAAUUGUCGGAAGGGCAGAUCCUGUUCAAAUGCAUUUUCAGAGAACACAGUGUUCUUUAAAGCUGCUCAAUUACCUACAUGGCUUCAUUAAGAAUAAAGGAACCCUUUUUGAAACUGAGGAACAUUUAAAAGUACUUUUCUAAAUUCUUUCCUCUUUCUCAUCUUAUUUUUCAGUUAAUCCUUUGGCCAUGGUGAUUCUAACCAGCACCUUCAGAGAUCAGACCUAAUUGUAAACCGCCUUUAUAAAAGUUUGUAUCUUGACCGUUUUUAAGUGUAAAGGCUAUCUUCUGUUUCUAUCCUGCACCUACUUUGUCAUAAGUAAUGUGACAAGGAGUUGCAGUGUCAUAAGAUCAACAGUCAUAAUUCAGAAUCAAGUAUAAGAACUGUCAUUUCAUUUUUAUUUUUGAACCAAGAAUUUAAACAUUCACCUUCAAAAAAGGACAGAAUAAUUCUAAGGUAAACAGGAAAAUGACUUAUCAUUUUCUCAUUUUGAUAAAAGGCAACAUUGUUCUCUACUUGUUUCCUUGACUGCCCAAUAGCUGAGCCUCAGACCCUUCUAUCCUCUCCCCACUGGUCUCAAGAUCACAAGCCAAAAGUCCAAACCAAGAACCUUGCAGAAAUAGUAGCCACUGUCUCCAUCCAAGCCAUGAUCUGGCCACCAAAUGUAUUUCCAUGAUGGUUUGCAUGGGGUGGGAGGACAAGUUCAAUGCUCUGCACAGAGGUGCCCCUCGUGGAAACGGUUCCUUCUUCUUCAUCACAAGUGGGAUCUGAAAGGUGGAUGUGAAAAAAGAUGGUGGAGUUAAAUGCAGAACCUGAGGCUACAGCCUUUCCUUCAACUCAUGGGAUUUUUUAGAAAACAUAAAUUAUUACCAAAGACUUAAAACUCCUGAAGAAAUGAAUAGGCUUUAUUUACAGUGAAUUGGAUAAGACCACAGAUCAGAAAGGUCAUUUUAGAGAUUGUAUUCCAACCUGUUUUACAAGUCAACCAGAAUUUUUUUUUUUUUUUUUUUU